CAAUAGCGUAUAUUAAAGCUGUUGCGGUUAAAAAGCUCGUAGUUGGAUUUCUGUCAAGGACAACUGGUCCGCCCUUCGGGUGAGCACAUAGUUUGGUCUUGGCAUCUUGUUGGAAACUGUUGCUGCACUUGGUUGUGUGGCGCAGCGUCCAGCACUUUCACUUUGAGGAAAUUGGAGUGUUUCAAGCAGGCACAUGCCUUUGGACACAGUAGCAUGGAAUAAUUAGAUUGGGCUUUUGCUCCAACUUGUCGGUUUCUGGAGCUGAGGUGAGAAUUAAUGGGGAUUGUUGGGGGCAUCCGAAUUUAGCCGUCAGAGGUGAAAUUCUUGGAUCUGCUAAAGACGGACAACUGCGAAAGCGUUUGCCCAGGCUGUUUUCAUUGA
rnacentral:rRNA from 1 species